UAAUACAUGCAAGUCGAGCGGACAGAUGGGAGCUUGCUCCCUGAUGUUAGCGGCGGACGGGUGAGUAACACGUGGGUAACCUGCCUGUAAGACUGGGAUAACUCCGGGAAACCGGGGCUAAUACCGGAUGCUUGUUUGAACCGCAUGGUUCAAACAUAAAAGGUGGCUUCGGCUACCACUUACAGAUGGACCCGCGGCGCAUUAGCUAGUUGGUGAGGUAAUGGCUCACCAAGGCAACGAUGCGUAGCCGACCUGAGAGGGUGAUCGGCCACACUGGGACUGAGACACGGCCCAGACUCCUACGGGAGGCAGCAGUAGGGAAUCUUCCGCAAUGGACGAAAGUCUGACGGAGCAACGCCGCGUGAGUGAUGAAGGUUUUCGGAUCGUAAAGCUCUGUUGUUAGGGAAGAACAAGUACCGUUCGAAUAGGGCGGUACCUUGACGGUACCUAACCAGAAAGCCACGGCUAACUACGUGCCAGCAGCCGCGGUAAUACGUAGGUGGCAAGCGUUGUCCGGAAUUAUUGGGCGUAAAGGGCUCGCAGGCGGUUCCUUAAGUCUGAUGUGAAAGCCCCCGGCUCAACCGGGGAGGGUCAUUGGAAACUGGGGAACUUGAGUGCAGAAGAGGAGAGUGGAAUUCCACGUGUAGCGGUGAAAUGCGUAGAGAUGUGGAGGAACACCAGUGGCGAAGGCGACUCUCUGGUCUGUAACUGACGCUGAGGAGCGAAAGCGUGGGGAGCGAACAGGAUUAGAUACCCUGGUAGUCCACGCCGUAAACGAUGAGUGCUAAGUGUUAGGGGGGUUUCCGCCCCUUAGUGCUGCAGCUAACGCAUUAAGCACUCCGC
rnacentral:rRNA from 1 species